rnacentral:rRNA from 11 species
AUAACUGAAACAUCUUAUUAUUAUUUUAAGUAAAUCAACCGAGAAUUUGAUAGUAGUGGUGAGCGAACUCAAAAAGUAAUUAAUUAAAUAUUAUUUUUAAUCAAGUUAAUUAAAUGUUUUAAAAGUUUACUUUUAGAAUUUUAGUAAACCUGAGAAGGAUUAAGUCCUGUAUAUAAAGUUUCUUUUAACACGUUUAGUUCUGUAUUUAGUACAAAAAUCUUUAUUUUGUAUGAACGUAGGAGAGCCGUCUUCUAAACUUUUUUUAUUUUCUUGAUAAAUAGUGCAUGAGUAUUGUGAAAGAAUUUUAAUGUAUUUAUAUUACUUUAACUGAAAUUGAAUGCUAACGACUUAUUGGGAGCGCAAAGUAACCAAUUACCUUUUGCAUAAUGGAUCAGCAAGUGAGUAAAAUUAGCAAAUUUAAACUGCUAAGUGUAGUUGUAGUUUUUGCAAGUAAUCAAAUACGACUCUUAGUUAGUUUUACUCGACCCGAAGCCAAAUGAUCUAUCUAUGAACCGGUUGAAUCUAUAUUCAUUUAUAAGGGAAGACCUAAGCCUUACAUGUUGCAUAAUGUUGGUGUGAUUUGUGGAUAGGAGUGAAAGUCUAAUCAAAUUUGGUGAUAGCUGGUUUUUUACGAAAGCCAUUUUAGUGGCGCAUGAAUAAAAACAAUUAUAAGGUAAAGCGCUUAAAAUUUGAUUGGGUAUGUUGACUCAUGUCCGGCAAAUUUUAAAACUGUUAAUUUGUAUUUGUUUAAUUUGUAGUUAGACUUAGAGCGUUAAGGUUCUUAGUCGAAAGGGCAACAACCCAGCUCGUUCAUUAAGGUCUAUAAAUAAUAAUUUAGUGAUAAAGUUUUUAAAUAUGUAUUAAAUAUUAUUGUAGGCUUAGAAGCAGCCAUCGAAUAGUGAUUGCGUUUUAGCUUGUCAUUUAAUGUGUUUAACAAUUACAAUGUAUAUAGACUAAAAUUUAUACCGAAAUGACGAAUUUUUAAAAUAGUAUCGCAAAAAAGAUAGUAGUAAAAUAUUUUGUUUUUAUUAAACUUAUUCAAUGUUAGUUUUUUAAGUUGCUUCAAAAGAAAGAAUGCUGAUAUGAGUAGCGAAAACUUUGUGCAGAAUCAAAGUCGUUGUAUAUCCAAGGUUUCUCGCUCUAUUCUACAUAACGAGGUAAGUCGGUUUCUAAGAAUAAAACGUAAGUUGAUUUUGAUGAUAAUAUUUUCUAACCUUAGUAUAAGGUAAUAAAAUUUUAGUACACCAACAUUCAAUUCGUUAACAAGUACACAAAUCUAAUUUGUUAAACCUUGAUAAUGUUGCAAGAAACACUUAUACUUGUAAAACAAAAGACCGUACCUAAAACCGACACUGGUGGAUUAAUUGAAUAAAUAUAGACGAUUGAGUAAAUUAUAUUAAAGGAACUCGGCAAACUGGCUUUUUUAACCGAAAGCGCCUUGAAAAAGGUAUUUAUAUAAAGAAAAAGCAACAGCUAUUUAACAAAAAUAUAAGACUUUGCAAAUUUACCAUAUGUUGUAUAAAAUCUGGCGUCUGCUCAGUGCUUCUAAGCGAAAUUUUUGUAUUCCGGUACAAAAUAUAACCUUAAGUGAACAGCGGUUUUAACCAUGAGAAUCCUAAGGUAGCGAAAUUAAUUGUCGGGUAAGUUCCGUCCUGCUUGAAUGACGUCAUGAUUGCUUUACUGUCUCUAAUAUAAACUCAGCGAAAUUAAAAUGUCUGUGCAAAUGCAGACUACUUACAGUAAGACGAAAAGACCCUAUGAUUCUUUACUAUAACCUUUAAUUGUAAAAUUCUUAGUUUUGUGUAAGCUAGGUGGGAACUUUAAGUUUUAGUGAAAUACCACCCAAAAUUACAAAAUUUUACUUCAUUCUAUUUUGAAGAUAGUUUAAGGUUGGUAGUUUAUCUGGGACGGAUGCCUCCCAAAUAGUAACGGAGGCGUGCUACGGUAGAUUCUACUAAAUUUAUUUAUAGUAUAUAAUGAUACAAAUUUACUUGACGGUUAAACUCAUAAGUUACACCGAGAUGAAAGUCGGCCAUAGUGAUCCAAUCAAUAUUUAUGGAUAUGUGAUUGCUCAACAAAUAAUAGAAACUCUAGGGUUAACAGAUUAAUCGUGGAUGAGAGUCCUUAUUGACUUCACGGUUUGAGACCUCGAUGUCGGCUCAUCUUAACCUGGUAUUGUACCAGAUACCAAGGGUACGGCUGUUCGCCGCAUAAUAAGGUACGUGAGCUGGGUUCAGAACGUCGAGAGACAGUUCGGUUUCUAUCUGCUGUAAGAAAUAGAAAAAAUAAAAAUGCUAUUUUUAGUACGAAAGGAUCAAGAUAGCUUAACCUAUAGUGCAUUAAUUGCUAUAUUUUUUAGCAUCGUUAAGUAGCCACGUUAAAACAACUAAAUUACUUUGGUGUAAUGAAGUACUAAUUUUUACUAUUUUUCAUAAGAUUUCUAUUAGAUUAAUAGAUAAAUCGGUUUAUCGUGUAUAAAGGUAACUUUUAGCGUA